rnacentral:rRNA from 1 species
GACGAACGCUGGCGGCGUGCCUAAUACAUGCAAGUAGAACGCUGAAGAGAGGAGCUUGCUCUUCUUGGAUGAGUUGCGAACGGGUGAGUAACGCGUAGGUAACCUGCCUUGUAGCGGGGGAUAACUAUUGGAAACGAUAGCUAAUACCGCAUAACAAUGGAUGACACAUGUCUUUUAUUUGAAAGGGGCAAUUGCUCCACUACAAGAUGGACCUGCGUUGUAUUAGCUAGUAGGUGAGGUAAUGGCUCACCUAGGCGACGGUACAUAGCCGAACUGAGAGGGUGGACGGCCACACUGGGAACGGGACAAGGCCCAGACUCCCUCGGGGGGCAGCAGGAGGGAAUCUUCGGGAAUGGGGGGAACGCUGACCGGGCAACGCCGCGUGAGGGAAGAAGGGUUUCCGAUCGUAAAGCUCUGUUGUAAGUCGAGAACGGGAGUGGGAGUGGAAAGUUCACACUGUGACGGUACCUUACCAGAAAGGGACGGCUAACUACGUG